rnacentral:rRNA from 1 species
CCUACGGGUGGCUGCAGUGGGGAAUAUUGCGCAAUGGGCGAAAGCCUGACGCAGCGACGCCGCGUGAGGGAUGAAGGUCUUCGGAUCGUAAACCUCUGUCAGCAGGGAAGAACGGUCACUGUGUUAAUCAGCAGUGAAUUGACGGUACCUGCAAAGGAAGCACCGGCUAACUCCGUGCCAGCAGCCGCGGUAAUACGGAGGGUGCGAGCGUUAAUCGGAAUUACUGGGCGUAAAGCGCUCGUAGGCGGGAUGUCAAGUCAAGGGUGAAAUCCCCGCGCUCAACGUGGGAACUGCCUUUGAAACUGGAGAACUGGAGUGUGUGAGAGGAUAGUGGAAUGCCAGGUGUAGGAGUGAAAUGCGUAGAUAUCUGGAGGAACAUCAGUGGCGAAGGCGACUAUCUGGCACAUAACUGACGCUGAGGAGCGAAAGCGUGGGUAGCAAACAGGAUUAGAUACCCCAGUAGUC